GUUCUUCAGGGAUCCACUGAAGGUAAUGGUCAUUGUAGAGAGAUGUUUCUGGAGAGGACAGAAACAAGAUUAAACUGACUGAGUGGAGCUCAAUUUGAACAACAGAGAAGAGAGACAGCGCUUUAGUGGAACCUGUCAGAGAUUUGAAAGUGUCUUCAGAAAGUAAAUAGAAAGAUAACAAAAACUGGAGAGGCUGAGAGUGGGAAUGGAGCCCAGAGGAAGAACUUCAGAUUCCAACAUCAUUGUCUAGUUCAGUAUAACCACCUCAAUUAUCAUCAGAAAAGAAAGUUUGCUGACCCCUGAAUAGAAGACUUCUGUAAAGUUCUUAACUGUGGGACAUCAGAUCUGUGCUGAUCUUCAAGUCUGGAAGAAUAAUUAGGUAAUUUCCUUACUGCUAUAUCUUUUAUAUAUAAAUUUUAUUGAGGUAUAGUUGAUUUACAAUGUUGUCUUAGUUUCAGGUGUACAGCAAAGUGAUUCUGUU
rnacentral:lncRNA from 1 species